GCGAGCGGACAUGACGUGUGGCUGUCGUAAAAACCCUGUUUGUAAACAACCAGUCCUUUUAACUCGGGGCUGCGUCAUAAACACGGAGCGCUUGGAAGACCACGAUGUCAUCUUCCUUCUGUCAGGAGGAUCCAAGUGAAGCUACAGGAGUUUCAUUAACGUCAAUAACUUGGACCGAACACUUUGUUUUGCUUGAUGAAGAGCAGGAAGGGCAGCCUGGAGAGAAAGAGAAGCCGGGUUGAGCCCACUACCAUCAUCCACGUACCACGAGGAAGAUGAGGGAGAGAAAUGAUCCUACCAUUAAAGAGACUGUGAAAAGAACGUUGAGAACAUCACCACUCUACAGGAAGACACAGUCCAGUAAUGGGUGUCAGAAGUUCAGUAGUGAACGACAGGUACUGUGGAAAAAUGUGUGUCAUUGUUGUACAAUGUCCUUUGACUCUGUUUACACAAGGUUAACACAAAAAGGUUUGAUUGUAAAGUGAUAUUGGUAUGAAUUCAUGUUAUUCUCCUCUUCACAAGAAACAAACAAUCCAAAUUACCUGCAGAACGCCCUUGAUGGACGCUUCAGCUGCAUCGUCAGACUGGCCAGACAGCAAGAUGCCAACUUUAAUGCCAAUUUAUUUGUGUAACAUUCUGUGACCAAAUGUAUAGAUAACUUUUUGUAGAUUGUAAAAAUAGAUAACCCAUUUAUUACAAAAAAACUACACUAGAAUUACCGCACUGCGUUGUAUGACUCCGCUAACCAGAGCAGUGUCCGUCUACAUAUUUCUACAUAUUUUCUCUCAUAUAAAUGACACUGUAUCUCUUGACAACUGAAACCAUAAGAUGAGGUCAGUGUGGCCUUGACCUUUUUACUUUAAGACAAAUACAAACAUAGACAAUCCGAAAACAUGCAGUUAUGCCUCCGGCGACUCGCUAUUGCAGAGGCAUUAAAACCGUAGUGUAGUAGAUUGGAUUUUAUUGGUGUUACAUUGGACAUCUUGUAUGGGUACACCAAAAAAUAUAUUUGGUUUCACAUUCUAGAUGGCAAUAAGCAGAGUCAUCAACUCAGGAAAAAUAUUUCUGUAGAAAAGAAAGCCCUGUAUGUGUGUAUGUAUACAUACACACAAACGCACUAUUGAGACGUUUUGUUUUUUAUCAUAUAUUCUCAGGCAGUACUGAUGCAUUUACUGAGAGGGGACGUGAGGGCCUACUCUGCGUGCUCAGAGUUCAAGCCCAGCAGGCUGCAGCGGGCCUGACAUAUUCUGGAACAGCAGCACAGUCUUUAGAUGACUCCUCUGAAGAUGAAAACAUGGCGAGUUCUUCUCAAGAGAAGCAGUACAGGUGUGCCUCAGCUCCACGGUCCCUCCUGCAGCCUCCGCUCCUGAUGCUAACCUCAUGUCUCCAUCACACCAAGCAGCAGACCUGGAUUGACAGACCUUUCUCCAGAGCUGCCCCCUCCCUCUGAAACCCCCCUCUCCAAAACACUAUUUGUGUAGUUUUUAAAGUCUUUUUUGCAUGAGAAUUGUUGAUCAUAUCAUUUCCAGCAGAUGCCUUAAUAUAAUGUUUGUGCACAAUAAAUGACAUUGAUCAUAACAU